rnacentral:lncRNA from 1 species
ACAACAUGUACAAUUGCAAAGAUUUAAGAACAAGCAUACAUUUCUCAAUACAACAAUCAACAGUCAACAAAUUGUGUCUUACUCAGAGUGGACUGUAAUUUCUUCGUUAUACAUGUACAUAAACUUGAUCUGACAUGGUUCAUGAUAUUGUCACUGGUUGUACUGUCCUUUUGGAAACCCUUGGGCCUUAUUUAACAAGGGGAUUUACUUGAAAUAUUUUAUAGUUUAUAGAACUUUUAAGAGGUGCACU